rnacentral:rRNA from 1 species
UUAAGCGACUAAGCGUACACGGUGGAUGCCUAGGCAGUCAGAGGCGAUGAAGGGCGUGCUAAUCUGCGAAAAGCGUCGGUAAGCUGAUAUGAAGCGUUAUAACCGACGAUACCCGAAUGGGGAAACCCAGUGCAAUACGUUGCACUAUCGUUAGAUGAAUACAUAGUCUAACGAGGCGAACCGGGGGAACUGAAACAUCUAAGUACCCCGAGGAAAAGAAAUCAACCGAGAUUCCCCCAGUAGCGGCGAGCGAACGGGGAGGAGCCCCGAGUCUGAAUCAGUUUGUGUGUUAGUGGAAGCGUCUGGAAAGUCGCACGGUACAGGGUGAUAGUCCCGUACACCAAAAUGCACAGGCUGUGAACUCGAUGAGUAGGGCGGGACACGUGACAUCCUGUCUGAAUAUGGGGGGACCAUCCUCCAAGGCUAAAUACUCCUGACUGACCGAUAGUGAACCAGUACCGUGAGGGAAAGGCGAAAAGAACCCCGGCGAGGGGAGUGAAAUAGAACCUGAAACCGUGUACGUACAAGCAGUGGGAGCACCUUCGUGGUGUGACUGCGUACCUUUUGUAUAAUGGGUCAGCGACUUAUAUUUUGUAGCAAGGUUAACCGAAUAGGGGAGCCGUAGGGAAACCGAGUCUUAACUGGGCGUCUAGUUGCAAGGUAUAGACCCGAAACCCGGUGAUCUAGCCAUGGGCAGGUUGAAGGUUGGGUAACACUAACUGGAGGACCGAACCGACUAAUGUUGAAAAAUUAGCGGAUGACUUGUGGCUGGGGGUGAAAGGCCAAUCAAACCGGGAGAUAGCUGGUUCUCCCCGAAAGCUAUUUAGGUAGCGCCUCGUGAACUCAUCUUCGGGGGUAGAGCACUGUUUCGGCUAGGGGGCCAUCCCGGCUUACCAAACCGAUGCAAACUCCGAAUACCGAAGAAUGUUAUCACGGGAGACACACGGCGGGUGCUAACGUCCGUCGUGAAGAGGGAAACAACCCAGACCGCCAGCUAAGGUCCCAAAGUCAUGGUUAAGUGGGAAACGAUGUGGGAAGGCACAGACAGCCAGGAUGUUGGCUUAGAAGCAGCCAUCAUUUAAAGAAAGCGUAAUAGCUCACUGGUCGAGUCGGCCUGCGCGGAAGAUGUAACGGGGCUAAACCAUGCACCGAAGCUGCGGCAGCGACACUUAGGUGUUGUUGGGUAGGGGAGCGUUCUGUAAGCCGUUGAAGGUGACCUGUGAGGGUUGCUGGAGGUAUCAGAAGUGCGAAUGCUGACAUAAGUAACGAUAAUGCGGGUGAAAAACCCGCACGCCGGAAGACCAAGGGUUCCUGUCCAACGUUAAUCGGGGCAGGGUGAGUCGACCCCUAAGGCGAGGCUGAAAAGCGUAGUCGAUGGGAAACAGGUUAAUAUUCCUGUACUUGGUGUUACUGCGAAGGGGGGACGGAGAAGGCUAGGCUGGCCGGGCGACGGUUGUCCCGGUUUAAGCGUGUAGGGGGAGUGACCAGGUAAAUCCGGUUGCUUAUCAACCCUGAGGCGUGAUGACGAUGCACUACGGUGCAGAAGCAGUUGAUGCCAUGCUUCCAGGAAAAGCCUCUAAGCAUCAGGUAACAUUAAAUCGUACCCCAAACCGACACAGGUGGUCAGGUAGAGAAUACUCAGGCGCUUGAGAGAACUCGGGUGAAGGAACUAGGCAAAAUGGUGCCGUAACUUCGGGAGAAGGCACGCUGGCGUUAGGUGAAAGGACUAGCUCCUGGAGCUGAAGCCAGUCGCAGAUACCAGCUGGCUGCAACUGUUUAAUAAAAACACAGCACUGUGCAAACACGAAAGUGGACGUAUACGGUGUGACGCCUGCCCGGUGCUGGAAGGUUAAUUGAUGGGGUCAGCCGCAAGGCGAAGCUCUUGAUCGAAGCCCCAGUAAACGGCGGCCGUAACUAUAACGGUCCUAAGGUAGCGAAAUUCCUUGUCGGGUAAGUUCCGACCUGCACGAAUGGCGUAAUGAUGGCCAGGCUGUCUCCACCCGAGACUCAGUGAAAUUGAACUCGCUGUGAAGAUGCAGUGUACCCGCGGCAAGACGGAAAGACCCCGUGAACCUUUACUAUAGCUUGACACUGAACAUUGAGCCUUGAUGUGUAGGAUAGGUGGGAGGCCUUGAAGUGUGGACGCCAGUCUGCAUGGAGCCAACCUUGAAAUACCACCCUUUAAUGUUUGAUGUUCUAACUCGGCCCCAUGAUCUGGGGUGAGGACAGUGUCUGGUGGGUAGUUUGACUGGGGCGGUCUCCUCCCAAAGAGUAACGGAGGAGCACGAAGGUUAGCUAAUCACGGUCGGACAUCGUGAGGUUAGUGCAAAGGCAUAAGCUAGCUUGACUGCGAGAGUGACGGCUCGAGCAGGUACGAAAGUAGGGCUUAGUGAUCCGGUGGUUCUGAAUGGAAGGGCCAUCGCUCAACGGAUAAAAGGUACUCCGGGGAUAACAGGCUGAUACCGCCCAAGAGUUCAUAUCGACGGCGGUGUUUGGCACCUCGAUGUCGGCUCAUCACAUCCUGGGGCUGAAGUAGGUCCCAAGGGUAUGGCUGUUCGCCAUUUAAAGUGGUACGCGAGCUGGGUUUAGAACGUCGUGAGACAGUUCGGUCCCUAUCUGCCGUGGGCGUUGGAAGAUUGAGAGGGGCUGCUCCUAGUACGAGAGGACCGGAGUGGACGAAUCACUGGUGUUCGGGUUGUCAUGCCAAUGGCAUUGCCCGGUAGCUAAAUUCGGAAGAGAUAACCGCUGAAAGCAUCUAAGCGGGAAACUUGCCUCGAGAUGAGUCUUCCCUGGGGCUUAAAGCCCCCUGAAGGAACGUUAAAGACUAUGACGUUGAUAGGCUGGGUGUGUAAGUGCAGCGAUGUAUUGAGCUAACCAGUACUAAUGAUCCGUGAGGCUUAACCUU